rnacentral:tmRNA from 1 species
GGGGAUGUUCCGGUUUCGACAGAUUGUAUGUUGGAUCCUGGCUGCAGUGGAGUGACGACCUAAUUGUCAAAUUAAAUUUAUUCGGCAAUAAUAACAAUUAUUGUUUCGCCUAAACAAGCGACGUUAGCUUAAGGCGUAAUUCUAUGGCCCAUGUUUGUAAGUCAUAGUCUCAAACACAAACUAGGUGAAGUAAGUUGCCUUCAUAAUCUUACAAGCCGAAAACCGAAAAGAGGAAUUCUCUGCUGGGUAGUUUAAGCCCUAAACAGAGUCUUAUCAAAAAUUAAACUAAACUGUAGACGCCUCGAUGGGGACUCUUUCUGGACAGGGGUUCGAUUCCCCUCAUCUCCACCA